rnacentral:lncRNA from 1 species
AUGUGUGGAGUGAAAUGCAUCACCUUUGCUCUGUGGAUUAAUAUUCUUAGUGUACUAACAGGAGAAAACAAGUUUAGACUGGAAUUAACUCCGUUAAAUCCAGUGAUUCAUGUAGGAACGGAUUUGGAGCUGACCUGUCAAAUGAAUGAUUGUCCAGAUAAUGUGACCUUCAUCUGGAAAUCAGCACUGGAUGAAUUUCUCGGUGGAGAGGCUAAAGAUGAGCAGACUGUUUCCCGCCUGCUGAUCAAGAACAUCUCUGUCAAACACAGUGAUAAAGUUUUGUGCAAAGCUAUUUGUCAGCAAAGUCCACAAGAGAAAAUAACAGAGAUACAUAUGUUCUGUAAGUAAUAUUUCAGCUGUACUCCUAAUUAGACAGUUAUUAAUUUAUGGAUAUAGCAGGCUGUUUUUACAUGAAUAAGUACUUUUAAACAUCACUACCAAUUAUUUAUCCACUAACCUACUCCUGUACUUAAGCUAUGCUGCUUGGUACAUAAAUAUUCCAAUAAUGUAUCUGUUUUUGUUACUAGUAUCUACCUAUUCCAGUGUUGCUUUUAAUUACUUUUUUUAAAAUGACUAUUCAAUUCCUUAUUUUUCAGUUACUAGUUAAUGAUUUCAGUCCUUACAAAUAGCAGUUUUAUACCAGUUGCUGAUUGUAAUGACAUGAUUAUUGUAAUGGAAUACUCCACCCAAAAAUUUAAAUUCUUUCAUAAUUUUCCUGUCCGCAUGCCGUCCCAGAUAUACAGUUGUGUUCCAAAUUAAUCAUAUCCUUGGUAAAUUAUUAUCAAAGCAAUCUGUGAUAUUAAAUAUGUAUCGUUAAUCCUUUUGAUAUUUUACUUUCAAAAUUAACAAAAAUCUGACCUUUUAUUGGGGAAUUUAAAAUGGGUGUGUGGGGGUCUUAUUGUGAAAUAAAUGUUUUUUCUCUGAUACACAUUGGCCACAAUUAAUCAUACCCUUUUAUUCAAUGCCUUUUGUAACCUCCUUUUGCCAAGAUAACAGCUCUGAGUCUCUCUUGCCUGGAGACUUUGGAGAACAUCUGACAAGAGUUCAGAGACUAUUCCUUUAUACAGAAUCAUUCCAGACCCUUCAGAUUUCCAGAUCCAUGUUGGUGCUUCUUCUCUUCAAUUCACCCCACUCAUGUUCUAUAGGGUUCAGGUCAGAGGACUGGGACAGCCAUGGCAGAAGCUUUUUGUUGUGAUUAGGGCUGGACGAUAUGGCUAAAAUUUAUAUCAUGAUAUAUUUCUUAAUUUCGGUCGAUACGAUAUAAUUACAAUAUCAAUAAGAACACUAUUAAAAAAAAGCUUUUUAAAAACUGCCAAGAACGCCCACAACAGAUGUCUGUGCCAUAUAAUAUUUUAGAAAAAAUACGGCACAAAUAAAUUAAUGUUUAAGAUUUGGUGCUCAAAAUUAAUUUGUUGAAAACAGCUGAGUAGAUUUUUUUUUCAGGUUUCUUUGAUGAAUAGAAUGUUCAGAAGAACAGCAUUUAUCUGAAAUAAAAAUCUUUUGUAACAUUAUAAUUGUCUUUAUCAUCACUUUUGAUCCAUUUAAAGCAUCCUUGCUAAAUAAAAGUAUUAAUAUUUAUAAUUUCUUUCAAAAAAAUUAAUACAAAAAAAUAAAUAGAAAUCAUACUGACUCAAAGCUUUUGAAUGGAAUAGUGUAUAAUGUUACAAAAGUUUUUUUAUUACAUAUAAAUGCUGAUCUUUGGAUCUUUCUAUUCAUCAAAAGAUCCUGAAAAAACAAAAUUUCAUAAUUUCUGGAUCAUGUGGCACUGAAGACUGGAGUAAUGAUGCUGAACAUUCAGCUUUGAUCACAGGAAUAAAUUACAUUUUAAAAUAUAUUCAAAUAGAAAGCAGUUAUUUUAAAUAGUAAAAAUAUUUCAGAAUUUUACUGUUUUUGCUGUACUUUGGAUCAAAUAAAUGCAGGCUUGGUUAGCAGAAGGGAAUUCUUAAAAAAAAAUAAUCUUACUGUUCAAAAACUUUUGACUGGUAGUGCAGGCUUACAGAUUGAAACAAAUGUGCUUUAGCCAGUAUAAAAAGUAUGGAAGCCCAUUUAAAUAAAAAUAAAAAAGGUAAUUGCGACUUUUUAUCUCAUAAUUCAGAUUUUUUUUUUUUUUCUACAGAAUUGCAUGAUAUUAACUCGCAAUUGCGAGUUAAAAAGUCAUAAUUGUUAGAUAUAAACUCACAAUUCGGAGAAAUACAGCUAGAACUGCGAGAUAUAAACUCACAAUUCUGACUUUUUUUCUAAAAAAAAACGCGAUUGUAGUUGCUACUUUAUCAUAUAAAAAGAAAAUGCCAUCAAAACUUUUCUGAAGACAGUCCUUUCCCUUCAGAUAUACAUUCAUAUUGAUAUUGAAUUAUUGUCUAGCCCUAGUUGUGAUUUUGAUGUUUGUUUAUGGAUCAUUGUCCUGUUGGAAGAUUCAAACAUGACCCAUUAUACAACUUCUAGCAGGGACAGUCAGGUUUAGAUUUUUUUUUUAUCUCUUGGUAUUUGAUAGAAUCCAUGAUCUAUCUAAACAAGAUAUUCAGAAUCUCAAACAUAUGCCCACAACAUUUAAGAUCCAGCAUUAUAUUUCAUUGUACACAUGGAGUAGUUUUUAACGCUGUUUGCACCAAACCCAUCUUGAGUGUUUGAUGCUAAAAAGCUUUCUUUUUUUUUUUUUUUUUUAUUUACUUUCCUUUUCCUUUUUUUUUCCUUUUUAACUUUUUACUUUCUGGCCCAGAAACUCAACUAUUUUUUGCAAUUCUUCAGCUGUGAUCUUGGAGAGUCUUUGGCCACUCAACCUCUCCUCCUCACCAUGCAUUAGGGCGCUAUAGACAAAAAUCCUCUUCCAGGCAGAUCUGUAACAUUUUCCGUUUAUUGGAAAUUCUUAAUUAUUGGCCUGAUGUUGGAAAGGGGAAUUUUCAAUGAUAUUUUCUUACAGCCACUUUCUAAUUUGUGGAAUUUGGCCUUUGUUUUCCAUCAUAUUUAUAUUCCUGGAUAAUUUAAUGUUUCUAGUCACCCUGGUGUGAUAAAAUAAAAAAAAAGCAAAAUAUUAAUGGAAUAUACAUAUAAAGAGAUAUUUUACUUAUAAGGAUUUCUAGGGCUAUCGAUAAUUGUAGUCAUGCACGCAUUGGAGAAAAACAUUAAUGUCAUAAUGUA